GGGUCAGUAGGUUGGUCGUGCCACCGGUACGUACUGGUCUCACUGAUUCCUCCUUCCUGAAGAACCGUAAUACCAUUAAUUUGGUGUUGCGGGGAAACAGGACUGUUACUUUGAAAAAAUUAGAGUGUUUAAAGCAAGCUAACGCUUGAAUACAUUAGCAUGGAAUAAUGAAAUAGGACGAUCGAUCCUAUUUUGUUGGUUUCCAGGAUUGACGUA
rnacentral:rRNA from 1 species